AGGGCGUUUGGUGAAUGCCUUGGCAGUAAGAGGCGAUGAAGGACGUGAUACUCUGCGAUAAGUUAUGGGGAGCUGAGAAUAAGCUUUGAUCCAUAAAUUUCCGAAUGGGGCAACCCACCUGAUACUUUGUUAUUAAUACUACUUAUUGUAGUGCCGUUUAAGGGUUCGCCCUUAGUCUGCGUUGCAUGCGGUGGGGCAUAAUAAUAGGGUAAACCAGGUAUUUAUAACUUGAAUACAUAGGGUUAUAAAAGCAAACCCGGGGAACUGAAACAUCUAAGUACCCGGAGGAAAGGACAUCAAUUAGAUACUCCCCUAGUAGCGGCGAGCGAACGGGGACCAGCCGAGCCAUGAGUGUGACUAGAAUGUGUUGGAAAGCACAACCAAAGUGGGUGACAGUCCCGUAUAGGAAGCAUGAUUGGACGUAUUAAGUAGGGCGGGACACGUGAAAUCCUGUCUGAAUAUCGGAGGACCACCUUCGAAGGCUAAGUACUCCUUACUGACCGAUAGUGAACCAGUACCGUGAGGGAAAGGUGAAAAGCACCCCGACGAGGGGAGUGAAACAGCUCCUGAAACCGAACGCCUACAAACAGUUGGAGGGACCUUGAGUCCUGACAGCGUACCUUUUGUAUAAUGGGUCAUCGACUUGGUCUAUCUAGCAAGCUUAAGCCGUUAGGUGUAGGCGCAGCGAAAGCGAGUCUUAAUAGGGCGAAUGAGUUAGAUGGAUCAGACCCGAAACCGAGUGAUCUAGGCAUGACCAGGUUGAAGGUAAGGUAACACUUACUGGAGGACCGAACCCACACCUGUUGAAAAAGGUCGGGAUGAGUUGUGCCUAGGGGUGAAAGGCCAAUCAAACUCGGAGAUAGCUGGUUCUCCGCGAAAUCUAUUUAGGUAGAGCGUCAGCCGAAUACCCCGGGGGGUAGAGCACUGAAUGGGUAAUGGGGACUCACCGUCUUACUGAUCCUAAUCAAACUCCGAAUACCCAAGAGUAAUAUGCGGCAGACACACUGCGGAUGCUAACGUCCGUAGUGGAGAGGGAAACAACCCUGACCCUCAGCUAAGGCCCCUAAUUCAUGGCUAAGUGGGAAAGCAGGUGGGACGACCAAAACAACCAGGAAGUUGGCUUAGAAGCAGCCAUCUUUUAAAGAUAGCGUAACAGCUCACUGGUCUAAUUAAGUUGUCCUGCGGCGAAGAUGUAACGGGGCUCAAGCCAUGAGCCGAAACUUCGGAUGCAUUUAAUGCAUGGUAGCGGAGCGUAGUGUGACAUAGUUCCAUGCGUCCUUCGUUUUAUAGCGGACUGCCCAGGCUUUCGAGCCUGUGUGGAGGCGCGUAAAAUACUGGACGCAAGGAGCUUUCUGUGAAGCCGGCCUGUGAGGGAUCCGGUGGAGAGAUCACUAGUGAGAAUGAUGACAUGAGUAACGACAAAGGGGGUGAGAGACCCCCUCGCCGAAAAUCCAAGGGUUCCUGCUUAAAGCUAAUCUGAGCAGGGUAAGCCGGCCCCUAAGCCGAGGGCGAAAGCCGUAGGCGAUGGGAACCAGGUUAAUAUUCCUGGGCCAGGAGGAAGUGACGGAUCAUGAAGAUUGUUGGAUCAGGCGUAGUUGCCCCAGCAGUUAAUUGGUUCCUGGAAAUAGCCCUCCAUCAGACCGUACCCUAAACCGACACAGGUGGAUAGGUAGAGUAUACCAAGGCGCUUGAGAGAACUAUGUUGAAGGAACUCGGCAAAAUACCUCCGUAAGUUCGCGAGAAGGAGGCCCGGUUCCAAGGCAACUUGGAGCUGGGGGCACAAACCAGGGGGUGGCGACUGUUUACUAAAAACACAGGGCUCUGCGAAGUCGCAAGACGACGUAUAGGGUCUGACGCCUGCCCGGUGCCUGAAGGUUAAAAGGAGGGGUGAGAGCUCCGAAUUGAAGCCCAGGUAAACGGCGGCCGUAACUAUAACGGUCCUAAGGUAGCGAAAUUCCUUGUCGGGUAAGUUCCGACCUGCACGAAUGGCGUAACGACUUCCCCGCUGUCUCCAACAUAGACUCAGUGAAAUUGAAUUGCCUGUCAAGAUGCAGGCUUCCCGCGGUUAGACGGAAAGACCCCGUGCACCUUUACUACAACUUUACACUGAUAACAGGCACAACAUGUGCAGAAUAGGUGGUAGGCUUUGAAGCAGAAACGCCAGUUUUUGUGGAGCCUCCUUUGAGAUACCACCCUUGUUUUGCUUGUUAUCUAACUGCGGUCCGUUAUCCGGAUCCAGGACCCUGUAUGGUGGGUAGUUUGACUGGGGCGGUCGCCUCCUAAAGCGUAACGGAGGCGCGCGAAGGUUGGCUCAGAGCGGUCGGAAAUCGCUCGUUGA
rnacentral:rRNA from 1 species